AUUGAACGCUGGCGGCAUGCUUUACACAUGCAAGUCGAACGGCAGCGCGGGCUUCGGCCUGGCGGCGAGUGGCGAACGGGUGAGUAAUGCAUCGGAACGUGCCCAGUAGUGGGGGAUAGCCCGGCGAAAGCCGGAUUAAUACCGCAUACGACCUGAGGGUGAAAGUGGGGGACCGAAAGGCCUCGCGCUAUUGGAGCGGCCGAUGUCGGAUUAGCUAGUUGGUGGGGUAAAGGCUUACCAAGGCGACGAUCCGUAGCUGGUCUGAGAGGACGACCAGCCACACGGGGACUGAGACACGGCCCAGACUCCUACGGGAGGCAGCAGUGGGGAAUUUUGGACAAUGGGGGCAACCCUGAUCCAGCCAUGCCGCGUGAGGGAAGAAGGCCUUCGGGUUGUAAACCGCUUUUGUUCGGGAAGAAAUCCUCUGGGCUAAUACCCCGGGGGGAUGACGGUACCGGAAGAGUAAGCACCGGCUAACUACGUG
rnacentral:rRNA from 1 species